ACAUAAUACUAAAAUAACACUGGACCUAAUUGAAUUUCAUUAAAUAAUAAUAAUAAUAAUAAUAAUAAAGAAAAACACUGAUACAUUUCUCAAAAUAUAUUCUUUUGUUUGUAUUUCCCAAAACAAAGUCCUGCAGGUUUGCAACAAUAUAACUGAUGAUUUUGGCUGAACUGUCCCGUAUAUGUGCUGAUAUUGUUCGCUGCUGUACCUUUAAGAGCUGUGCUGUGAUUGACUGAGCUCUGUGUAACAGUCUAGUUCAUCAGCUGCUGAAUAACGAGUAGCUGUUAAUGUGUCAGUAUGUUAAUGAGCUCACGGCUGUGAUGCUUUAGUGCUUAUUUAAUGCUUUUUGCCGGUGAUCUGUGAACCUGAACAACACCAGCUUUUCAUUAGAUGCUGUUUAUCUCUUGUUUGUGUGAGCUGGGAUGGAGCUCCACUCACAAACAUCAACCUCUUCCCCAUCAGAAGAGAAGAGAAAGACACUUUUGUUGUGUGUUUGAUUGACAGCGGUCAGAGCCUUCAUCCCGCUCUCCUCCUCUUCCUCCUCAGGGAGCAGGAGCUGAAGGUGCAUCAGGCGCGCCGCAGUCUGGAAGAAGCUCUGAUGGCAGACGGUUUGGCGCGAGCCGCCGAGUCCAGACGAGACACGCAGGGCAGAGCGGCGUAAAGACACACAGGUUUGUAGUGCACUGGAGUCCAGCUCCGCCCUCGGUGGACGCCUGGAUAUGAUGUCAUCAGUCUGUGUCAGCGGCACACGUUCAAUAACCCAUUACCAAUAGCUUCAACCAAGGCCUUUUUCAACUAGAGCGUAUAUUUUGAUGUACAUAUCUAUAUAUAAUUGAGAACAAUGCUUAUUUUGUGUCAGACAGAAGACAGGCUUUUACACAGAGCAAUACUUCCUCACGUCAAAUCAGGUCACCGUCGCUGGGCUUGUAUCGCAAACUCUUUUUACUUUCAUUUGGUGUCAUUGCUCUCUUCAGGGUUUGUAACAAAUGAUUAAUACACCUGCAAACGUAUGAAUGAAAAAUGCUUAUUUAAGAAAAAAAUUUUAUACCUUGAGAUAAAAAUGUGUACAUUUGUUGCAUCAUUCUAGAGAAAAUAAAAGAUUAUAUUCACAAA